rnacentral:rRNA from 1 species
CCUACGGGAUGCAGCAGUGAGGAAUAUUGGUCAAUGUACGAGAGUCUGAACCAGCCAAGUAGCGUGAAGGAUGACUGCCCUAUGGGUUGUAAACUUCUUUUAUAUGGGAAUAAAAUGUUCCACGUGUGGGAUUUUGUAUGUACCAUAUGAAUAAGGAUCGGCUAACUCCGUGCCAGCAGCCGCGGUAAUACGGAGGAUCCGAGCGUUAUCCGGAUUUAUUGGGUUUAAAGGGAGCGUAGGUGGAUUGUUAAGUCAGUUGUGAAAGUUUGCGGCUCAACCGUAAAAUUGCAGUUGAAACUGGCAGUCUUGAGUACAGUAGAGGUGGGCGGAAUUCGUGGUGUAGCGGUGAAAUGCUUAGAUAUCACGAAGAACUCAGAUUGCGAAGGCAGUUCACUGGACUGCAACUGACACUGAGGCUCGAAAGUGUGGGUAUCAAACAGGAUUAGAUACCCGUGUAGUC